AUUGAACGCUGGCGGCAUGCCUUACACAUGCAAGUCGAACGGUAACAGGUCUUCGGAUGCUGACGAGUGGCGAACGGGUGAGUAAUACCUCGGAACGUGCCCAGACGUGGGGGAUAACGAGGCGAAAGCUUUGCUAAUACCGCAUACGAUCUAAGGAUGAAAGCAGGGGACCGCAAGGCCUUGUGCGUUGGGUGCGGCCGAUGGCAGAUUAGGUGGUUGGUGGGAUAAAAGCUUACCAAGCCGACGAUCUGUACCUGGUCUGAGAGGACGACCAGCCACACUGGGACUGAGACACGGCCCAGACUCCUACGGGAGGCAGCAGUGGGGAAUUGUGGACAAGGGGCGAAAGCCUGAUCCAGCAAUGCCGCGUGCAGGAUGAAGGCCUUCGGGUUGUAAACUGCUUUUGUACGGAACGAAAAGGCUCUGGCUAAUACCUGGGGCACAUGACGGUACCGUAAGAAUAAGCACCGGCUAACUACGUG
rnacentral:rRNA from 1 species